GUGCUCGCUUCGGGAACAUAUAUACUAAAACUGGAACAAUACACAGAAGAUUACCAUGCUCCCCUGCAUGAGGAUGACACACAAGUUUAUGGAAAAUUCCCUAUUUUU